rnacentral:rRNA from 1 species
AUUAAACGCUGGCGGCAUGCCUUACACAUGCAAGUCGAACGGCAGCACGGGAGCAAUCCUGGUGGCGAGUGGCGAACGGGUGAGUAAUAUAUCGGAACGUGCCCAGUCGUGGGGGAUAACGUAGCGAAAGCUACGCUAAUACCGCAUACUAUCUAUGGAUGAAAGCGGGGGAUCGCAAGACCUCGCGCGAUUGGAGCGGCCGAUAUCAGAUUAGGUAGUUGGUGAGGUAAAGGCUCACCGAGCCGACGAUCUGUAGCUGGUCUGAGAGGACGACCAGCCACACUGGGACUGAGACACGGCCCAGACUCCUACGGGAGGCAGCAGUGGGGAAUAUUGGACAAUGGGCGAAAGCCUGAUCCAGCAAUGCCGCGUGUGUGAUGAAGGCCUUAGGGUUGUAAAAGCUCUUUUACUGGGGGAUGAUAAUGACAGUACCCAGAGAAUAAAGCUCCGGCUAACUCCGUGCCAGCAG